UGUUGGUUCUCUCGCAACGCUACUCUGUUUACCUGGUCAGGUCCGGAAGGAAGCAGCCAAGGCAGAUGACGCGUGUGCCGGGAUGUAGCUGGCAGGG
rnacentral:SRP_RNA from 1 species